CAAAGAAGAUGUUUGUUUUGGCCUAAAUUUUCCUUUGCCUGUGAGGGACAAUUCCACAACUCGGCAAGGGACAUAUGUGGGUCGAGAACAGCACAUGGGCAGAGGAAGGAGUACAACUCGUUACAAAAGGAAACUGCAAGAAGACACAAACAGUCUGCAGAAUGUGAAGAAAACCUUCUCGAAAAUUUGCCCUACAUGCUG